rnacentral:ncRNA from 24 species
AUCUUAUUCAGAGACGGUGGAGCUACAUAGGAGCGAAGAAGCCGCAGCAACCCCGGAAACGGAAGGUGCUAACCUGAGCGAACAAUUUGUUUCGAACAAUAAGAC